rnacentral:ncRNA from 2 species
AUAAUCCUUCGGGGUCGGGUGAAAUUCCCAAUCGACGGUGAUAAAGUAAAACUUUUAAGCCCGUGAGCCUUUUUUAGGCAGGAUAUGGUGAGAAUCCAAAGCCGACAGUAUAGUCUGGAUGGGAGAAGGAUGUA